UACGUAGGGGGCGAGCGUUGUCCGGAUUUACUGGGCGUAAAACGCUUGUAGGUGGCCACGCCAAGUCGGACGUGAAAUCUCCCGGCUUAACUGGGAGGGGUCGUUCGAUACUGGCGGGCUCGAGGCAGGUAGGGGGAAGCGGAAUUCCCGGUGUAGUGGUGGAAUGCGUAGAUAUCGGGAGGAACACCAGUGGCGAAGGCGGGUCUCUGGGCCGAUAUCGACGCUGAGGAGCGAAAGCGUGGGGAGCGAACAGG
rnacentral:rRNA from 1 species